GCUUUGAUAAUGCUGGGAUGUGAUGGGGAGCGAAAUUUAGUAGCGAAGUAGCUGAUUUCACACUGUCAAGAAAAGUCUCUAUCGAGGUUAAAGGUACCCGUACCGCAAACCGACACAGGUGGGUGAGGAGAGUAUCCUAAGGCCAGCGAGAGAACUGUUGUUAAGGAACUCGGCAAAAUGACCCCGUAACUUAGGGAUAAGGGGUGCCACCAUCCGGUGGCCGCAGAGAAUAGGCCCAAGCGACUGUUUACCAAAAACAUAGGUUUCUGCUAAGUCGCAAGACGAUGUAUAGGAGCUGACGCCUGCCCGGUGCUGGAAGGUUAAGGGGAUCUGUUAGAGCAAUCGAAGCAGUGAACUUAAGCCCCAGUAAACGGCGGCCGUAACUAUAACGGUCCUAAGGUAGCGAAAUUCCUUGUCGGGUAAGUUCCGACCCGCACGAAAGGCGUAACGAUUUGGGCACUGUCUCAACAACAGACUCGGUGAAAUUGUAAUUCCGGUGAAGAUGCCGGAUACCUGCGACAGGACGGAAAGACCCCAUGGAGCUUUACUGUAGCUUGACAUUGGGUCUUGGUACUACAUGUACAGGAUAGGUGGGAGGCUUUGAAACCAGGACGCCAGUUUUGGCGGAGCCAUCCUUGGGAUACCACCCUUGUAGUACUGGGACUCUAACCAUAGGCCAUGAAUCUGGUCUUGGGACACUGUCAGGUGGGCAGUUUGACUGGGGCGGUCGCCUCCCAAAAGGUAACGGAGGCGCUCAAAGGUUCUCUCAGUACGGUCGGAAAUCGUACGUAGAGUGUAAAGGCAAAAGAGAGCUUGAUUGCAAGACAUACAGGUCGAGCAAGGAUGAAAAUCGGACUUAGUGAUCCGGUGGUUCUGCGUGGAAGGGCCAUCGCUCAACGGAUAAAAGCUACCCUGGGGAUAACAGGCUUAUCUCCCCCAAGAGUCCACAUCGACGGGGAGGUUUGGCACCUCGAUGUCGGCUCAUCACAUCCUGGGGCUGUAGUAGGUCCCAAGGGUUGGGCUGUUCGCCCAUUAAAGUGGUACGCGAGCUGGGUUCAGAACGUCGUGAGACAGUUCGGUCCCUAUCCGUCGCAGGCGUAGGAAAUUUGAGAAGACCUGUCCUUAGUACGAGAGGACCGGGAUGGACGUACCUCUGGUGUACCAGUUGUUCUGCCAAGGGCAUGGCUGGGUAGCUAUGUACGGAAUGGAUAAGCGCUGAAAGCAUCUAAGCGCGAAGCCAACUUCAAGAUAAGAUUUCCCACCGCAAGGGUAAGACCCCAGAAAGACUAUCUGGUUGAUAGGUCGAAGGUGUAAGUGCAGCAAUGUAUUUAGCUUAUCGAUACUAAUAG
rnacentral:rRNA from 1 species